rnacentral:RNase_P_RNA from 2 species
GGAGGGUAGGGGAGGUCAUCAGUGGGAGCCACAUGCUGAGUGCUCCUCACUCCCCCAGCCCCUGGAAAGAUCUGAGACUGGGGCCUCCAGCAGCNCUAACUGGGCCCUCCCGGAGCAGGGAGGUGAGUUCCCAGAGAGCAGGGCUCCAUGUGUGGGCAGACUUUCAAGCUCCUGGGAGCUUGAAACAGACUCACUGCGGGGCUGCAUGGGAGGGGGGUUGUAGGCAGUAUUAUCAUACAAGAGAAGCUCCCUGGCUCU